ACGUAUGGUGCAAGCGUUAUCCGGAUUUACUGGGUGUAAAGGGAGCGUAGACGGAUAGGCAAGUCUGGAGUGAAAACCCAGGGCUCAACCCUGGGACUGCUUUGGAAACUGCAGAUCUGGAGUGCCGGAGAGGUAAGCGGAAUUCCUAGUGUAGCGGUGAAAUGCGUAGAUAUUAGGAGGAACACCAGUGGCGAAGGCGGCUUACUGGACGGUGACUGACGUUGAGGCUCGAAAGCGUGGGGAGCAAACAG
rnacentral:rRNA from 1 species